ACAGCUGUGGGGCCACAGAAGGCGGGAUCGGAGAUGACCUCCGCCAUGGCCUGGUCCCCGCUGCUCCUCAGCCUCCUCGCUCACUGCGCAGGGUCCUGGGCCCAGUCUGUGCUGACUCAGCCGCCCUCCGUGUCUGGGGCCCUGGGCCAGAGGGUCACCAUCUCCUGCACUGGAAGCAGCUCCAACAUCGGGGGUGGUUAUUAUGUGAGCUGGUACCAACAGCUCCCAGGAAAAGCCCCCAGAACCAUCAUCUAUAGGAACAGCAACCGACCCUCAGGGGUCCCGGAUUGAUUCUCUGGCUCCAGUUCUGGCAGCUCAGCCACCCUGACCAUCACUGGGCUCCAGGCGGAGGACGAGGCUGAGUAUUACUGCUCAGCGUUGGACAAUAGUCUUAAUGCUCACACAGUG